UACGUAGGGUGCAAGCGUUGUCCGGAAUUAUUGGGCGUAAAGAGCUCGUAGGCGGUUUGUCGCGUCUGCUGUGAAAACGCGAGGCUCAACCUCGCGCCUGCAGUGGGUACGGGCAGACUAGAGUGCGGUAGGGGAGAUUGGAAUUCCUGGUGUAGCGGUGAAAUGCGCAGAUAUCAGGAAGAACACCCGUGGCUAAGGCGGCUCUCUAGUACGGUACUGACGCUGAGACGCGAAAAGCGUGGGGGAGCGAACAGG
rnacentral:rRNA from 1 species